rnacentral:rRNA from 1 species
AUUGAACGCUGGCGGCAGGCUUAACACACGCGAGUCGAGCGGAGCGAGGGUGCUUGCACCUUAGCUUAGCGGCGGACGGGUGAGUAAUGCUUAGGAAUCUGCCUAUUAGUGGGGGACAACAUUCCGAAAGGAAUGCUAAUACCGCACACGCCCUACGGGGGAAAGCAGGGGAUCUUCGGACCUUGCGCUAAUAGAUGAGCCUAAGUCGGAUUAGCUAGUUGGUGGGGUAAAGGCCUACCAAGGCGACGAUCUGUAGCGGGUCUGAGAGGAUGAUCCGCCACACUGGGACGGAGACACGGCCCAGACUCCUACGGGAGGCAGCAGUGGGGAAUAUUGGACAAUGGGCGGAAGCCUGAUCCAGCCAUGCCGCGUGUGUGAAGAAGGCCUUUUGGUUGUAAAGCACUUUAAGCGAGGAGGAGGCUACUUAGAUUAAUACUCUGGGAUAGUGGACGUUACUCGCAGAAUAAGCACCGGCUAACUCUGUGCCAGCCGCCGCGGUAA